GCAGGGAUGGAGCAAUGGUUGGCUCGUCAGUCUCAUAAACUGAACAUCAGCAAGUUCAAAUCUUGCCCCUGCC
rnacentral:tRNA from 1 species